AUUUUCUGCUCAAAUUUGUUUCUAAAAACUCUUAAAAUAAAAAGUAGGAUCAUAAAAAUUUUAUAUUGAACCAGAAUUCAUUGCUUGAUUAUUAAUUUAUAUCAUUCGGAUUAUUUCUAUCUUUAUCGAAACUAUUCAUAAUCGAAAUCGUAGGUCAUCCAGGUAAACAAGAAAUUAGAAAAUAAAUUUUGAAAUCAUAGCUGCUUUGCUGGUAUUUUUAGCUAACUUUAAUUAAUUGAGCGAAAUUAGUAAAGUUUAAUUAGAAUCAUGAGGACAAGUUUGCUUCGACUUUGCCCGUAUCGAAAAUACUUUUUUGACAAAGAGAAAGAACUGGACAAAGGUGCAAAAUCGACGUUUUCUAUGAUUAUUGGAUGUUUGUUUUUAGGUGGUUUCGCCUACAUCCAAUUGAAGAGGGAAGCUGAUCCUACUCCAAGGAAAAGAUUUUGAGAAAUAUUUAUUUUUUAAUUAUAUGCUGUGUUAUGUACUGCUCGGAACCAUCUACUAUAUUAUUUGCAACAAAUUAAUUAUUGUCACGGGCAGUAAAUAGAUUAUAAUUUUAAGUUACAUUUUGUAAUGAUUUGUAAAUGAAUAAAUAUGUUUAUGUAGUA